ensembl:rRNA 5S_rRNA 5S ribosomal RNA
GCCUACGGCCAUACUAUGAACACGCCCGAUCUCGUCUGAUCCCAGAAGCUUAAGUGGAGUCAGGCCUGGUUAGUACUUGGGUGGGAGACCACCUGGUAAUACCAGGACCCGUAGGCU